rnacentral:rRNA from 1 species
AUUGAACGCUGGCGGCAUGCUUUACACAUGCAAGUCGAACGGUAACAGGCCGCAAGGUGCUGACGAGUGGCGAACGGGUGAGUAAUGCAUCGGAACGUGCCCAGUCGUGGGGGAUAACUACUCGAAAGAGUAGCUAAUACCGCAUACGAUCUAUGGAUGAAAGCGGGGGACCGCAAGGCCUCGCGCGAUUGGAGCGGCCGAUGUCAGAUUAGGUAGUUGGUGGGGUAAAGGCUCACCAAGCCAACGAUCUGUAGCUGGUCUGAGAGGACGACCAGCCACACUGGGACUGAGACACGGCCCAGACUCCUACGGGAGGCAGCAGUGGGGAAUUUUGGACAAUGGGCGCAAGCCUGAUCCAGCAAUGCCGCGUGCAGGAAGAAGGCCUUUGGGUUGUAAACUGCUUUUGUACGGAACGAAACGGCUCUGGUUAAUACCCGGGGCUAAUGACGGUACCGUAAGAAUAAGCACCGGCUAACUACGUG